UGGAGGGGCGAUGGCGUAUUCAGUUUGCUGAGGACGCGGACGAAGGAGGUGAUAGGGAUAUCUGGCUUAAUAACGGCUAUAAUUUGAUUUUUCUUACUUAUUUUUCUUAAUGUAGCCAUAAAUGUAUGCGGCUGCGUGACGUGCCACUAUUGGAUUUCUGUGGAUGCGGUCUGGUCAAUACGAAACGUCGACUGGGGCUUCGAUAAACUAGGUUGGUCCUGGCUAGUUAGCCAUGGUAGCUCAGACUAUGGCGGUGCGAAGCGGAAGUGGUGAAGAUGGCGUCCCGGAAGUCGCCCUGCUGGCCGACAAGGGACAGGUACUCCGCCCCCCCAAGUAUCUGGUGAGACGGUCCGGCUGGAAAACCGCAGGUAUUUGCUGGGUCAUGGGCACGCUGCCCUCCGUGCUUGGGGGAGUGUGCCAAUGUUGGAGUCCAUCGAUGCACAUCUGCUGAUGCCCCAGAAGUUAUGAGCGCAAGGUGUUAAGGAUGAGAAGCAGCUGAUGGACCCACAGUGCUACUAGAACCUCAACCUGCCCCUGCUGAUUUGCACCGAGUCUGCGGUGAGGAACGUCCACGACAACCAGUGUACAAGGAACGGGACUACUUUUCGUGGCGGAAGGGGAUCGGAUGAGGUGGCGGCGUCCUUAUUCACGGAUGAUACAAAAGCACGUAGCAAGCAGAGAGAUGCUGAAAAGGGGGCAAGGAAGCCACCUGUCAGGAGGACGUCCGCCGCCGCCGUCACCACUUCUGGGAUGUCACAGAAGUACUGAAAAUUAAACUUUUAUACAUAUACACUUGCGUCUGUUCCUGCGAGAUUGAGUCUCAGACUGCAGCUCGCAUGGGUUCGGCCUCUGAGAUUCUGACGUAAAGGACGAGCUAAUCCCAGCUGCAGGAGCCUCCAGCGUGCUUGUCUCGCUUUCUGUACUGCAAAGUCCCCGUGGGGCAGCUGUAUGUGUGAAAUCACUCCUGGCAUGUCUUGGGGGGGGGGGGGUUGUGUUUGUCAUCUUAAUACACCCCCAGCCCUUGGUGUAUGUUGUUUUUAAACCUCUCCUAGGGGACACCCAGCCAUUCCGUUUCAUUUUGCUAUCCUGUCUGUCCCUCCUUCAGCCAUGCUUACAUCUCCCAUGUGCGUGUGGCUGGGGCUCCUGCAGGAGAGGUUUACGAGCCUGUGAUGUAGGAGAUGUAAGGAAGGAAUUAAAAUAAAGAACAGAACCAGCCA